AUGAAAGGCACCACGAGGGCUUAGCUGUCUCCCCUUUAAAGUCAAUGAAAUUGAUCUCCCCGUGCAGAAGCGGGGAUAUGCUCGUAAGACGAGAAGACCCUAUGGAGCUUAAGAUACAAAGCGAGUCGUGUCAAACACCCCCUCAAAGGAAAUGAACGAAAUGAACUCCGCUGGAAUGUCUUCGGUUGGGGCGACCGCGGGGAAAGACAAAACCCCCACAUGGACCAGGGCCACUAUAGCCCUAAAACCUAGACCCACAGGUCAAAUCAACAGUAAUUCUGACCACCAAAGAGCCGGCAAUGCCGAUCGACGGACCGAGUUACCCUAGGGAUAACAGCGCAAUCCCCUCCCAGAGCCCUUAUCGACGAGGGGGUUUACGACCUCGAUGUUGGAUCAGGACAUCCUAAU
rnacentral:rRNA from 1 species